rnacentral:rRNA from 1 species
GACGAACGCUGGCGGCGUGCUUAACACAUGCAAGUCGAACGGUGAAGGGGAGCUUGCUCCCCGGAUCAGUGGCGAACGGGUGAGUAACACGUGGGCAACCUGCCCCAGACUUCGGGAUAACGCUUCGAAAGAGGUGCUAAUACCGGAUACGAACUCCUUGGGCAUCCUGGGAGUUGGAAAGUUUUUCGGUCUGGGAUGGGCCCGCGGCCUAUCAGCUAGUUGGUGAGGUAACGGCUCACCAAGGCGACGACGGGUAGCCGGCCUGAGAGGGCGACCGGGCACACUGGGACUGAGACACGGCCCAGACUCCUACGGGAGGCAGCAGUGGGGAAUAUUGCGCAAUGGGCGAAAGCCUGACGCAGCAACGCCGCGUGAGGGAUGACGGCCUUCGGGUUGUAAACCUCUUUCAGCAGGGAAGAAGCGAAAGUGACGGUACCUGCAGAAGAAGCACCGGCUAACUACGUGCCAGCCGCCGCAGUAAAAC